UACGAAGGGGGCUAGCGUUGCUCGGAAUCACUGGGCGUAAAGGGUGCGUAGGCGGGUCUUUUAAGUCAGGGGUGAAAUCCUGGAGCUCAACUCCAGAACUGCCUUUGAUACUGAAGAUCUUGAGUUCGGGAGAGGUGAGUGGAACUGCGAGUGUAGAGGUGAAAUUCGUAGAUAUUCGCAAGAACACCAGUGGCGAAGGCGGCUCACUGGCCCGGUACUGACGCUGAGGUGCGAAAGCGUGGGGAGCAAACAGGGAUUAAGAUA
rnacentral:rRNA from 1 species